GAAGGGGGCUAGCGUUGUUCGGAAUUACUGGGCGUAAAGGGCGCGUAGGCGGUGUGUCAAGUCAGGCGUGAAAGCCCCGGGCUCAACCUGGGAACCGCGCUUGAGACUGGCACGCUCGAGUUCGGGAGAGGAUGGUGGAAUUCCCAGUGUAGAGGUGAAAUUCGUAGAUAUUGGGAAGAACACCGAUGGCGAAGGCAGCCAUCUGGACCGACACUGACGCUGAGGCGCGAAAGCGUGGGGAGCAAACGGGAUUAGAUACCCUGGUAGUCCACGCCGUAAACGAUGAGUGCUAGACGUCGGGGCCCUCAGGGCUUCGGUGUCGCAGCUAACGCAUUAAGCACUCCGCCUGGGGAGUACGGCCGCAAGGUUA
rnacentral:rRNA from 1 species